rnacentral:rRNA from 1 species
UGGUCUUGACAUAGAAAGAACUUUCCAGAGAUGGAUUGGUGCCUGCUUGCAGGAGCUUUCAUACAGGUGCUGCACGGCUGUCGUCAGCUCGUGUCGUGAGAUGUUGGGUUAAGUCCCGCAACGAGCGCAACCCUCGUCGUUAGUUGCUAACAGUUCGGCUGAAAACUCUAACGAGACUGCCUACGCAAGUAGGAGGAAGGUGAGGACGACGUCAAGUCAUCAUGGCCCUUACGACCAGGGCUACACACGUGCUACAAUGGGGUAUACAAAGAGCAGCAAUACGGUGACGUGGAGCGAAUCUCAAAAAUGCCUCCCAGUUCGGAUUGUAGUCUGCAACUCGACUACAUGAAGUUGGAAUCGCUAGUAAUCGUAAAUCAGCUAUGCUACGGUGAAUACGUUCCCGGGUCU